rnacentral:rRNA from 1 species
GGCUUAACACAUGCAAGUCGAGCGGUAACAUUGGUAGCUUGCUACCAGAUGACGAGCGGCGGACGGGUGAGUAAUGCUUAGGAAUCUACCUAGUAGUGGGGGAUAGCUCGGGGAAACUCGAAUUAAUACCGCAUACGUCCUACGGGAGAAAGCAGGGGAUCUUUGGACCUUGCGCUAUUAGAUGAGCCUAAGUCGGAUUAGCUAGUUGGUGGGGUAAAGGCCUACCAAGGCGACGAUCUGUAGCUGGUCUGAGAGGAUGAUCAGCCACACUGGGACUGAGACACGGCCCAGACUCCUACGGGAGGCAGCAGUGGGGAAUAUUGGACAAUGGGGGGAACCCUGAUCCAGCCAUGCCGCGUGUGUGAAGAAGGCCUUUUGGUUGUAAAGCACUUUAAGCAGUGAAGAAGAAGUUAUGGUUAAUACCCAUAAUGGAUGACAUUAGCUGCAGAAUAAGCACCGGCUAACUCUGUGCCAGCAGCCGCGGUAAUACAGAG